rnacentral:rRNA from 1 species
UUGAUCCUGGCUCAGGAUUAACGCUGGCGGCAUGCCUAAUACCAAUGCAAGUCGAUCGGGUGCAGCAAUGCAUCAGAGGCGAACGGGUGAGUAACACGUAUCCAAUUUACCCCCAUAGCGGGGAUAACUUAGUCGAAAGAUUAGCUAAUACCGCAUAACGAUUAAAAUAUCGCAUGAGAAUUAAUUUAAAGAUCCGUUUGGAUUACUAUGGGAUAAGGGUGCGGCAUAUCAGCUAGUUGGUGAGGUAACGGCCCACCAAGGCAAUGACGUGUAGUUAUGCUGAGAGGUAGAAUAACCACAAUGGAACUGAGACACGGUCCAUACUCCUACGGGAGGCAGCAGUAGGGAAUUUUUCACAAUGGACGAAAGUCUGAUGGAGCAAUGCCGCGUGAACGAUGAAGGUCUUUGUAGAUUGUAAAGUUCUUUUAUUUAGGAAGAAAAGCUAUAAAGGAAAUGUUAUUAGUUUGACCGUACUAUUUGAAUAAGUAACGACUAACUAUGUGCCAGCAGUCGCGGUAAUACAUAGGUUGCAAGCGUUAUCCGGAUUUAUUGGGCGUAAAACAAGCGCAGGCGGAUUAGAAAGUCUGGUGUUAAAAUCACUGCUUAACGGUUGAAUGCAUUGGAAAACUUCUAGUCUAGAGUGUGGUAGAGAGUUCUGGAACUCCAUGUGGAGCGGUGGAAUGCGUAGAUAUAUGGAAGAACACCAGCUGCGAAGGCGAGAACUUAGGCCAUUACUGACGCUUAGGCUUGAAAAGUGUGGGGAGCAAAUAGGAUUAGAUACCCUAGUAGUCCACACCGUAAACGAUGGAUGUUAAACGUCGGGGCGAUCACCUCGGUGUUGCAGUUAACACAUUAAACAUCCUGCCUGGGUAGUACAUUCGCAAGAAUGAAACUCAAACGGAAUUGACGGGGACCCGCACAAGUGGUGGAGCAUGUUGCUUAAUUCGACGGUACACGAAAAACCUUACCUAGACUUGACAUCCUUGGCAAAACUAUAGAAAUAUAGUCGAGGUUAACCGAAGACAGGUGGUGCAUGGUUGUCGUCAGCUCGUGUCGUGAGAUGUUGGGUUAAGUCCGCAACGCGCAACCCUUAUCGUUAGUUACUUUGUCUAACGAGACUGCCAACGCAAGUUGGAGGAAGGUGGGGAUGACGUCAAAUCAUCAUUAGCCUUAUGUCUAGGGCUGCAAACGUGCUACAAUGGCCAAUACAAACAGUUACCAAACCGUAAGGUGGUGAGUAUCUGCAAAGUUGGUCUCAGUUCGGAUUGAGGGCUGCAAUUCGCCCUCAUGAAGUCGGAAUCACUAGUAAUCGCGAAUCAGCUAUGUCGCGGUGAAUACGUUCUCGGGUCUUGUACACACCGCCCGUCAAACUACGAGAGUUGAUAGUGUCUAAAACCGUGUUGCUAACCGCAAGGAAGCGCAUGUCUAGGACAAGAUUAAUGAUUGGAGUUAAGUCGUAACAAGGUACCCCUACGAGAACGUGGGGGUGGAUCACCUCCUUU